CCCAAUUCUAACAGCAUAAGAGAGGUAGUGACAAGAAAUAACARUACAAGGCAGUUAAAAUGCUUUGUAAUUGGAAUGAUAGAAAUUUAAACACUUUUUAAAGUAUCAAUUGGAGGGCAAGUCUGGUGCCAGCAGCCGCGGUAAUUCCAGCUCCAAUAGCGUAUAUUAAAAUUGUUGCAGUUAAAAAGCUCGUAGUUGAAUUUCUGCUAAAAAUAACCGGUCUGCUUUUAUUA
rnacentral:rRNA from 1 species